AAUGUAGCUCAGUGGUAGAGUACUUGCCUAGCAUCCAUGAGACCCUGGGUUUCAUCCCCAGUAUU
rnacentral:tRNA from 1 species